rnacentral:tmRNA from 1 species
GGGGAUGUUUUGGUUUUGACAGCAUCGAUUUCGGGUGGUAAGCACGUCGGGAGUAGGAGAUUGGCCCGUUAAUCCCAGUCUUCAAGCCAUAACUGGCAACUAUAACUACUCAUACGCUUGCUAGUCUCCAAGAGACUGAGCAUCAAUCGGCGCCGCCAAGGCUGCGACGCUGACGUAUAUCCCUCCAGCUUUAGGCCGGUUCAGUCUGGACAAAGGGGUAUCAUCAAAACCGGAUGCGCGGCCCCGACGCCUCUACGGACCGUUAAGACUUCAGAGGAUAAGCCGUGCUUGGCCUGUCUUUCGGCACUGCACAGUCGAAAACCAAAGAAAGAAUAAGCGUGUAGAAAGCCAUUUGGGGCGUUGUUUGGACGAGGGUUCGAAUCCCUCCAUCUCCAC